rnacentral:rRNA from 1 species
GACGGAGGGUGCAAGCGUUGUUCGGAUUGACUGGGCGUAAAGGGCGUGUAGGCGGUCGGCCAAGUCUGAUGUGAAAGCCCGAGGCUCAGCCUCGGAAGUGCGUCGGAAACUAGUCGGCUGGAGCGCGAUAGAGGAGGGUGGAAUUCCUGGUGUAGCGGUGAAAUGCGUAGAUAUCAGGAGGAACACCGGCGGCGAAGGCGGCCCUCUGGAUCGUUGCUGACGCUGAGACGCGAAAGCGUGGGUAGCAAACAGG